rnacentral:rRNA from 1 species
GACGAACGCUGGCGGCGUGCUUAACACAUGCAAGUCGUACGGUAAGGCCCUUUCGGGGGUACACGAGUGGCGAACGGGUGAGUAACACGUGAGUAACCUGCCCACAACUUUGGGAUAACGCUAGGAAACUGGUGCUAAUACUGGAUAUGUGCUCCUGCUGCAUGGUGGGGGUUGGAAAGCUCCGGCGGUUGUGGAUGGACUCGCGGCCUAUCAGCUUGUUGGUGGGGUAGUGGCCUACCAAGGCGGCGACGGGUAGCCGGCCUGAGAGGGUGACCGGCCACAUUGGGACUGAGAUACGGCCCAGACUCCUACGGGAGGCAGCAGUGGGGAAUAUUGCACAAUGGGCUCAAGCCUGAUGCAGCAACGCCGCGUGCGGGAUGACGGCCUUCGGGUUGUAAACCGCUUUCAGCAGGGACGAAGCUUUUUGUGACGGUACCUGCAGAAGAAGCACCGGCUAACUACGUG